CAGUUGCUGGAGUGAGGAUGUUCUUUUUGGCGGAGAUAACGGGUCUGUCGGCACGUCAGUUUUAAAAUGGCAAGCAAUUUCUUUCGAAAAGCUAUGAACCAACUGAGGAACAAGUAGUUUCAGAAGUAUCUGAGGAGCACUUCUGGGGACCUGUAAUUAAUUGGGGUCUGCCCAUAGUCGCUGUGACGGGCAUGAGGAAGAGCCCUGAAAUAAUCAGUCGUCGAAUGACCUUCGCUCUUACCGGUUACUUGCUCAUUUUUAUGAAGUUCUCAUAUCGAGUCCAGCGCCAAUACUGGCUCCUCUUCGCAUACCACAUGGCCAAUGUGACGGCACAAACGAUCCAGGGAGGCCGGCUCAUCCGACACAAAAUGACGGACCUCCUGAAAGAAGCACUGCGGCGGGCCAAGGACCAGCGCCUUGAUCUACUGCAGGAGGUGCUUUAUUAGCUAAUUCAACUGGAGGUCCAGGAGGACCCAGCAUUCCGGGAUUUGGCCAGCCGGAGCGGGGACCUCCUAAGUGAGGCAGCCCCGCCCGGAGACGCGUACCCCUCGCGGGAGAAAAGGAGUCUACACUUAAGACUACUGAGCAGAAAGUCUUGCAAGAGGACCAACCAAAAAGCAAGAAGAGAAAGAGGUUACCCAACAAACUCUUCCCUGACACCCAGGAAGAAACUGUAGUUGCAAAAAAGAAAAACUUCAAACUCAUAGCUGCAAGACAGUCUGAAUUAGAGGUUCUCUCCCAAGAACAACCUAACCUCAGCCCAGUGGAGACUGCUUCAGAGGCACUUGAGGAGGAGAUUAAAAGACUGCGGGACCAGCAGAGUGUUGGAUCUUCCGCAGCCAGUAAAGAACUUGAGACCCAAGUCAAGGCUUUAAAUGGGUUACCUAGCAUCUAAGGUAGAGCUAUUCUCGGCCUUCUUCGUAAAUAUGUUUUGAAACACGCUGCCUCUGGUCUGAGCAUCAUAACUGAGUAACUCAAGCAGGGGUUUCUUAGCUGACACAGAUCUGCAAGUGGGAUAUUUAGGUUGGGAAAUCAAAUUACUUUGUACCUUAUGAUUACUUGUGCUUCCAAGUCCCAGGUUUCCAAUGGAUAGCAUGAUAUAUUUGUUGCAAUUACAAUGACUCUGCUGUUUUUCUCAUAAUGUGAGGUACCCUGAAUACCUGGACAUGCGUCCAUUUAUGUUUUGGUCCCACGGAGAACCCAAGAUCUAACCAUCUGUAUACCGUGCUGGUUCACUUGGGAUUCAGCUGUCACACUGGACAUUACUACUGCUACAUCAAGGUUCGUCUUGUGGGCUCCUUUCAUUCCAUUGCCUUGAGAUGCUUUAGUACGAACUCAGCAUAUGGUUGAAACAAAUAUGCUGGUUUGUUCCAGGCCAGGAGUGUCCAGUGGUAUUUGAUGACUGACACUUCAGUCACUGUCAGAAACAUCAAAAUGGUAGUGUCAUGCCCGGCUCGUAUGAUCCUCAUGUGCGCCAUGCCCCCUGAUUAUCCACGUGUGCUUCCCCGAUCUAGCCCAGCUGUGUCUGAUUAUUUUUGCCCAGUCUUGUCUAUUUCAGUCCAUGUCUUGCCCUGGUUUCUUGUCCGUCAUUGAUGUUAGUGAGUCUUAGUGCUGUUCUGUCAUGCCCUGCCCGCACCUUAAUAAAUCUCCAGUUUUUCCCCGACUUGCGGCUCCUUGCCUGCUUCCUGCUCGUUUGCAUGCCCGUGCGCGCACCUGCUCACCCAGCGACUCUGACAGGGGAAUCCGAGGCCCCGUUCAGAGGAGAGACACGGACGGGUGCACUGUACUCAGGAUGGCGACCAUGAUGGAGCCAGACACUCGCACCCUGACCACAGCAAAAACAUCCACAUGAAACUACCUGAGUGAGACCAGCACUCCGAGGAGCGUCUCGCCAAGAGAGACAAAGCAUCCUAGACAAAGAAGAAUGUCAAGGACAUGUAACGUGACCACUGAGACCAGGAUACAUCUGAGAGGAACUCCAGCAGCAGCCUCGAGGGAUUCAACAAGACGAAGCGAUACGACAUGAACUCCCCAUGCGGAAGCCACUCCAGCCUGAGCGAUAAGGAGCACCAUGGCAGCGACUACAACGAAGAAAACUGCAAGCACUGGCACCAUGAGAGAGAGCAACCAGCACUGAGAACAGCCAAUACAGCCACAGCGGACCACAGCUCCACAUCCACGCAGGUGAUUGGGCUGGUGAGAGUGGAGAGAGGCCAGGACGUGGAUUUUCUUCAAAAGAAGUGAAUUUCAGACUGGAAAGUGAUGCUUUAAUCAUAUAAAUCAAAGAAGAAGGCUUAACAUCUUAGCUGCUGUUUAUACACUCGGUACUUUGUCAUUUUUUAUUGUGUACUCUUAAUAAAUUGGACCCUGUAUUCAUUUUCUAAAAUCCCUUUUAAAUGUUUUAUGGUAUUUUCACAUUAACUAUUACACUUAAGAUCAUUUGUCUCUAUUACGGGCUGACCCAUGCCUAACCCUGAAUAAUUGCUUUUGAGCUCGAGAUGGCACAAAAGUUGCACUUUCAGCUCUUUACUCUCCAUAGAAACAUUGAUAACCAAUGAAAAUACUUGUUUUCAUGCUUUCCAUACAUAUUUUGCCUAUUACAAUGUUAUUUAGGACUUUAGGAAUAAUGUCAUUGUAUACAUUUUAUUUUUUAUGCACAGCUGGGAAAAAUGAAAUUCUGAAAUGCACAGCAGAAUUAAACAUGACAUGCAGGAUAAAAUAUUAUAUAUAUACACGCAUACACACACAUACAUAUACAUAUACAUAUAUACUACAUGGACAGAAGUAGGCGGACACAUAUAUACACAAAACGCACAUACACAUACAUACAGUGACCUCUGCUGAAUUCUUAAGUUGACCCAUUAAUAAGGAAAUGAGAAGUCUGUAAUUUCACUGGUAUGUUUAUUGAACCAGCAAAAGAUAGAUUAUUAACAAAACAAGCAAGAAAAAGUCAUUAUGUAACAGUUACAAACUAUAAAAAUAAUUAUUUCCCUCAUUGUAUAUACUACAUGGAGAGAAGAAGGCGGACACAUGUACAGUAUAUAUACAAACGCACAUAAACAUGCAAAAAUACUAGAUGGACAGAAGGCGGCGGACACAUAUUUUGUCCUGCCCUCUCGUCGACCACGCCCCCUCGUUAACCUCAUGUGGAGUCUCCGUAUUCACCACCUAUUUCUAGUUGCUGUUGUUAGUUCAGUGUAUUUCAGUCCGCGUUCAAGUACGUUUUCCUAGUCCUGUCAUUAACAUAUGUUCCCCUUCAAAUAAAACCCUUUUUAUUACCACGGCUUCCUUCGCCUGCUUCCCUGUACUGAUCCGUGACAGAAUGACAGGACUACAGGAGAAGAUGCCUCCCUUCCAUGAGGCGGAACACCUUGACCUUUUGGACGAGGUAGAAUACUGGCUCAAGGAGUCCAAAAUGAAGGGAGACCCCACGGCGCAAGCCGUCGCUCGCCGGUCAAGGGAAAUCUUGACCCACUUCUCCCCUGCCGAAGACCCGCGCCUCACAGCAGAGAGAGAAGCGGGGAAAGCGACGAGGGAAAGAGUUGCACGUUUCCCUAGGGGCCGUCUCCAUCUCCGCCAUUUCCCCAAAAGGAACCAAACCUGACGUCGCCUGCGCUUGGGCCUGGAGCCAGUCUGCCUGCUGCUGCUUCGCCUGCGCCCACUGCUAAGGCGCGAAGCCCAGCUCUGUUACCCCCACUUGGCAGAUCCCAACCAGGAAUUGGCCUCUUCAUAUCCAGGAGGGGGAGAGGUCACUUACACAGGGGUUGGUUCCUGCCUGCCCUGCCCCCUGGCUCAUCCUCGGUCCCUGUGGCUGGGACUCGUGCGGCGCCUGCGGGUCCUUCGGUUCCUGCUCAGCGGUCGCCUGCGGUUCCCUGGACUCCUGCUUGGCGGUCGCCUGUGGGUGCUUCUCCGAUGACUCUUCGGCCCCGCCUCCGUUAACUCAUCGGUCGUCUGCGGGUUCCCCCGCUCCGACUCAUCGGUCACCUAUGCCUGGGCCGGCUGUGGCUGCUGUUCCCUCUUCCCCUCUCCCAGUGCCCCCUUCGCCUUCCUCCUCGCCUCCUCUGGUGCCCCCAUUGUCUUCCUCUUCACCUCCUUUGCCUGUCCCUCCAUCUGCCUCCUUGCCCCCUUCGUCGUCCCCUCCUGCUCCUGCCUCGCUGUUGCCGAAGGUCCCUUCGGCUCCAACCUCGCAGUCGCCGGCUGCCUCUGCAGCUUCUGCCUCUUGCCUACUGGGGUUCCCUCGGGCUCCCCAUUUUCCCCCGUCCUCUACCAUCCUGCCUCCUGUUUUCGUACCUCUGUGUCUGCUCCUCGUCGCUCCGCUCCUUUGUUCGCUCCUGGUCCUUUUUUUCCUCCUGUUGGUGUUCCCCCAGUGUCUCUGUUCUUGGUGCCCCUGUGCCUGUCUGCGUUCCCGUUGGUUUGUCAGUGGUUUUCCUGCUUCUUGUCCCUGUGUCUGCUCUGUGUGUCUGUCCUGUUCCCGGUUCCUCAUUGAUAUUUUGCUUUUGUUUCUCUAGGUCCUGUUAGUCCCUUCACUCCCAUUGGGUAAUGUCAUGCUCCAUUCGUCCUGCCCUCUCGUCGAUCAUGCCCCCUCGUUAACCUCGUGCAGAGUCCCCGUGUUCACCAGCUGUUUCUGGUUGCUGUUGUUAGUUCAGUGUAUUUCAGACCG